AUGAGGGCGAGUGGCGCGGCCGUCGGCGCCGCUGCUCCCUAUCCGCCGCCGCCGCUCUCUAUCCUCCGCCGCCUCUCAGCCACCGUGCUCGCCAACCGACGCCGCUUCUCCGCAGCCACACUCGCCCACCGAAGCCGCUGCUCCGCCAUUGUGCUCGCCCGCCGACACCGCCGCUCCGCUUGCUCUGGCCGCCCUUCUGAGCGAGGAGGCCGCCGCCAUGGUUGCACAUCUGUUGCCCGCGCCGUCGGCGGCUGCGGUGGCGGCGUGGGGGGCGGCCCUCCUACUCCCAUGUCGUCGCUGCCGCUGCGUCGC
rnacentral:lncRNA from 1 species